GACGAACGCUGGCGGCGCGCUUAACACAUGCAAGUCGAGCGAGAACCGGGACUUCGGUCCCGGGGACAGCGGCGAACGGGUGAGUAACACGUGGGUAAUCUGCCCUCGAUUCUGGGAUAGCCCGGGGAAACCCGGAUUAAUACCGGAUAGCCUUUCGAGCCUUCGGGCGCGAAAGAAAAGGUAGCUUCGGCCUCCGAUCGAGGAUGAGCCCGCGGUGGAUUAGCUUGUUGGCGGGGUAAUGGCCCACCAAGGCGACGAUCCAUAGCUGGUCUGAGAGGACGAUCAGCCACACUGGGACUGAGACACGGCCCAGACUCCUACGGGAGGCAGCAGUGGGGAAUCUUGCGCAAUGGGCGAAAGCCUGACGCAGCGACGCCGCGUGGGGAAGAAGGCCUUAGGGUUGUAAACCUCUUUCAGGUGGGACGAAGCCACUCGGGUGAACAGCCCCAGAGGGUGACGGUACCGCCAGAAGAGCCCGGCUAACUACGUGCCAGCAGCCGCAGUAAG
rnacentral:rRNA from 1 species